UCAAGUAAAAAGUAAAAGAGAUAGUAAACCUUCAUCAGAAUGUAUUUGUGUUUUCUCCGUGUCGACGGUACGGACCGACUGAUGUAGACGGAGAGUUCAGAAGAGAGAAGUCAUAAUGGGGAACUGUCCGUGUAAGAAAAAGACGAAACAGUCGGAAAAGUCAGGAAAGUCGGAAAAGUCGAAAAAGUUGAAACAACCUCAACAAGUUGAGGAAGAGAUAAUAAGUCUUAGGACUUGUGAAGAUGAACUUCAGCAGACAAA